rnacentral:tRNA from 1 species
GCCCGGUUAGCUCAGCUGGUAGAGCAUCAGGCUUUUACGCCUGCCACCUUAGAUGGUACCUGAGGGUCAAGGGUUCGAGUCCCUUAUCGGGCG